rnacentral:rRNA from 1 species
UCUAAAAAUAAAAAGGUAAUAUCCUUGGAGAAACCUAUACUCUUUGACGGCCUUCUUUCUUAUUAAAGGAACUUGUUAUUGAAUCGAAACUACGCGUUAAUUUUUUCUCCUCUUUCAAAGCUUUUAUACCGUCGUCUUAAGGAUUUACUUAGAAGUCCACUCUAAAUUUAUUAUUAAAACAAGUCAGAUCAAGGUGAAGCCUAUAUAGGAGAAUUUAAUGAGUUAUCAAUAAAAAUAAUUUAUAGAUUUUUAUUUUAAAAAAUAAAAAGAAUUAAGAUUUAAAAGUAUUGCUAAAUUAACACUUUAUAAAGAGUCAGUAAAAGAAGGUGU